rnacentral:tRNA from 1 species
CAUUAAGUUACUUAAAGCAAGUACUGGUCUCUUAAACCAUUUUAUAGUAAAGUAGCGAUUACUCUUAAUGA